UACAGGGGGUGCAAACGUUGCUCGGAAUUACUGGGCGUAAAGCGCACGUAGGCGGAUCGAUCAGUCAGGGGUGAAAUCCCAGAGCUCAACUCUGGAACUGCCUUUGAUACUGUCGAUCUGGAGUAUGGAAGAGGUGAGUGGAAUUCCGAGUGUAGAGGUGAAAUUCGUAGAUAUUCGGAGGAACACCAGUGGCGAAGGCGGCUCACUGGUCCAUUACUGACGCUGAGGUGCGAAAGCGUGGGGAGCAAACCGG
rnacentral:rRNA from 1 species